rnacentral:tRNA from 1 species
GGGGAGGUAGCUCAGUGGCACAGUACCUGCCUGAUAAACAUGAGGCCCUGAGUUCAAUUCCUGGUAACCCCA